UACGUAGGUGACCAGCGUUGUCCGGAUUUACUGGGCGUAAAGAGCGCGCAGGCGGUCGUUCAAGUCGAGUGUGAAAGCCCCCGGCUCAACUGGGGAGGGUCACUCGAUACUGAUCGACUUGAAGGCAGGAGAGGGAAGCGGAAUUCCCGGUGUAGCGGUGGAAUGCGUAGAGAUCGGGAAGAACAUCGGUGGCGAAGGCGGCCAGCUGGGCCAUUGCUGACGCUGAGGCGCGACAGCGUGGGGAGCAAACAGG
rnacentral:rRNA from 1 species